GACUGAGCAGGAAAAAACACAACCGUGUGGAAAAGACUCAAGGAUGGGGAAAGAGCCGAGGCGUGGGAUGGGGAAACCCUUGGUGCCUUUCAGGUGGUGGCUGGGGAAGACCUUGACCACCCUUUGGGUUGCCUCAUGGCUCUUCCUCCUCUUCAGCCUGUGCUGGCUGCAAGCUGUGUCCCCAGGACUGGCAGCUCCACGGGGACAGAUGCUACCGGCUUUCCAAGGAAACAGGGAACUGGAAUCAAGGCAAGAAAGGCUGCGAAAAUCAGGGGUCUCAGCUGGCAAUGCUCUGGGACAAGAAAGAAGAGGAGUACAUCAAGAAUAUUACAGGCGGACGCACGCAGCCGGUGUGGAUUGGAUUACUAUCAUCGCGCAGGAAAUGGAGAUGGGUGGACAACACACCCCUCAACACCAAAAUGCUUCGCAACCUGCAGGAGAUGGAUGAAGGGUGUGGGACACUGAAAAACAAAAUGUUGGAGGUCGACAGCUGUAACGCUGAACACGAGUGGGUUUGCCAGAAACACCCUUUCCAGCUCUCCCCAUCGACGGCAGGAGGUGGAGAGAAAUGCGAUGCCUCCGUCUGACAUGUGCCCAUCCCAAAAUGCCCAGCCUGUGAGACGCUUGCCGCCAAUAUUUGGGGUAAAGCCAGCCCCAUCUUCACCGUUACGGUCCUGUGAGAGAUUUCAAGGUUUGCAAAUGCAUUUCCCACACAGG
rnacentral:lncRNA from 1 species